UACGGAGGGUGCAAGCGUUGUUCGGAAUCACUGGGCGUAAAGGGCGUGUAGGUGGCUAAUUAAGUCAGGUGUGAAAUCCUUCCGCUUAACGGGAGAAGUGCACUUGAAACUGCUUAGCUAGAGUACGGGAGAGGAAGGUGGAAUUCCUGGUGUAGAGGUGAAAUUCAUAGAUAUCGGGAAGAACACCGGUGGCGAAGGCGGCCUUCUGGCCCGAUACUGACGCUGAGACGCGAAAGCGUGGGGAGCAAACAGGAUUAGAUACCCGUGUACUGAGACUACCAAGGCACACAGGGGAUA
rnacentral:rRNA from 1 species